rnacentral:lncRNA from 1 species
UAAGAGAGGGGGAAGGUGGCCAGGAGAAGACAGAGAUAGGCUUUCCAAUGAGAUUUUCAGUUUUACUGAGAGGAAAAACAGAGAGUAAUCUGCUGAGUCAUUGCCACAUUAUUUAGGAUAUGGGAUUGAAUGCAAACACACCUUAAGAUGAAGCUCACAUUUUGGAGGGCAAGAGCCAGUCUCAUAUUCCUUCGUGCUAUAGCUCCUACUAUAAAGUUGGAGGUCUAAUCUUGUAGAGGAGGAGAAAAAGGCAGGUUGUGGUUACCACAUUUAUACCAGUGCCAUAGCUGGUCUAAAUCAGAACUGGGGAACACCAGUUGUUCCAGAUAUUAUUUGGCUGCAACUCCCAUAGCCCAUGGUGAACGGAGAUGCAGGUUCCAGCCUAACAACAACCAUGUGGCUCCACAUUCUUUCUCUUUGCUUAAACGAAUUUACUCCAGUUCCUUACGCUAAUAGGAUUUUGUUGUUGUGAAAGUCAAAAAGGCAUGCUAAUAAUGGACAGGGCAGGAGAAUCAGCCCAAGUAUUGCUCCAUGUUUCUGCCUGCAGGCAGGAGCCUGGCAGGGCUUUGGACUGAUCAAAGACUCUGAUAUCUGAAUGCCCUGUCUCUCUGCUUCUUUCUCCAUAUGACUGCAGUCUUAGUUUAGCACAGUUCUUCAAAGGGUUACAAGGCACAUCAGAAAAACAGCAUAUUUUAGAUCAAUAUAAUACGCAUUUGUAGGCCCAGUGUUAAAUGACAAGUUGUAACAGCUUCAUCUUUUUACCUGCUUGUUAGUCUGAAUUCUACCAGUAGCUCUUUAUUAUAUUUCACAAUAUAAAUAAAAUGCAAUCAAUGUAAUAAAACAGUAUAAUUUUUUUAAAAAAAAGAUUACUCCAGGGAAAGUAGACGAAAUUGCCUACUCUUAUUUCAUGGUGUUGUCCAGCUAUAUUUGGGGCAGGGGAGGAGACAGGGUAUAAAACAAAUAGAAUAUAGAAAGCAAUAAAUUUAUUUUAAAAAUGUGUUUCCAUUUCUCUCCUCUUCCUUCCCAUAGGCCAGUUGAUGGCACAUUACAUCUGGGGAAAGGGAGGGACAGAAACGAGGGUCAGAGCUGCUUCUGCGUCACAGCAUGCCAGCUAUAAUCGGACUCUUGCAACAUCCACCUCUGACUAAUCUAUUCCAUAUCCAAUCUCUGGUUGGAAGGUGAGCCUAUACUGCAUUCUUCGUGGUUGCGAUAGCCAGUGUCAUGUAAUGGUUAAGUGUAAUGGUUGACCGAUGAGACUCAGGUUCAUAUCCCUGUUUAACUGGGCCAGGUAAAAGUAAAGUUUCCCCUUGACAUUUAGUCCAGUCAUGUCCGACUCUAGGGCGUGGUGCUCAUCCCCGUCUCCAAGCCGUACAGCCAGCAUUUGUGCGUAGCUUCCGUGGUCACGUGGCCAGCGCGACUAGACACAGAACGCCAUUACCUUCCCACCAUGGUGG